CGCUUUUUGUUUUCGAUGAUACGUUGGUUGAUUUCAAUUUGAAAGACGGGUUCUUUAUCUUCAAGAAAACAGUGAAACACCCAACAUCAGGUUUCUCAUCGAAUCUUUGUGAAACCAAUUUAUAUCUGCAUUCGUUGUGAAACCCAUUUUCUCAUUUUUGAUUAUUCAAGAACUUUUCAAUCCUCUGCUUGAGAAAAAAAAACUCUAAUUGGGGAAUGUGCUCUGUCUCAAAACCCCUAUCUUGGUUCCAAGAUUUUGAAAAACACUUUACGUUUGUUACGAAAAUGGAGUUUUUACAUGAUUUUGGAAUUUCAUUUCAACAAUUUUUGUCCCUGUCUGGUUUAUAAUUGGGUUACCCAUUUUCUCAUUCUUGAUUAUUCAAUAACAUUCAAUCUUCUGCAUAAAAAUAAAGAGAUUAUUCGAUUUUGUAAAUCAAAAUUUAACAGGGUAUACAAACCCUAAAAGUCUGAAUCACUGCAAGAUGGAAUCCUUUUUCAAAAAAGACUGUUUGACAUCAAUUUUUUAAAGACUAAUUUUUUGUUUGAUAUGGUAAAUUUGGAACUUUCAUUCCAACAUAUUUGCAUUCAUGCCUGUUGGGAUACAAAUUUUCUCAUUCUUUGUUAGUUAAGAACAUUCAAUCAUCUGCUUGAGAAAAAAAUCAUAAUUGAGCAAAACAUGUUUUGUACCAAGAUCCUAUUUGGUACCAAUAUUUUGAAAGGAAUAUUUUUCGUUGGAUAUUCUAAUUUUGGAAUUUUCAUUCCAACAUAUUUGCAUUGAUUACCUGUUGGGAACUUCAUUAUCUCAUUCUUGAAUUAUUCAAGAACAUUCAAUCUUCUGCUGAAAAAUAAAAGAAGAGCAAAUGUGUUAUGUCCCAACACUCGGUUCCAAAAUUUUGAAAAACUUUGUACAGUUAUUACGAUGAUGGAGUCUUAUACAAUUUUGGAAUUUUAAUUCCAAAAAUAUUGUCUGGCCCAGUUUAUAAGUGAGCAAAUGUGUUGUGUCCCAAAACCCUAUUUGGUUUCAAAAUUUUGAAAAAGAAUUUACACGAUGAUGGAGUCUUAUACAAUUUUGGAAUUUUAAUUCCAAUAAUAUUGCCUCACCCGAUUUAUAAGUGAGCAAACUUGCUAUGUCCCAAUACUCUAUUUGGUUCCAAAAUUUUGAAAAACUUUUUACAAGAUGAUGGAGUCUUAUACAAUUUUGGAAUUUUAAUUCCAAAAAUAUUGUCUCCCCCGAUUUAUAAGUGAACAAAUGUGCUAUGUCCCAAGACCCUAUUUGGUUCCAAAAUUUUGAAAUUUUUUUUUCCGAUUGUUACAAUGAUGAGUCUUAUACAAUUUUGGAAUUUUAAUUCCAAAAAUAUUGCCUCACCCAAUUUGUAAGUGAACAAAUUUGCUAUGUCCAAGACCCUAUUUGGUUCCAGAAAUUUGAAAAACUUUUUACAGAUGAUGGAGUCUUAUACAAUUUUGGAAUUUUAAUUCCAAAAAUAUUGCCUCGACCGAUUUAUAAAUGAGCAAACUUGCUAUGUCCCAAGACUCUAUUUGGUUCUAAAAUUUUGAAAAACUUUUUACAAUUGUUACGAUGAUGGAGUCUUAUACAAUUUUGGAAUUUUAAUUCAAAAAAUAUUGCCUCGAUUUUAUAGUUACGAUGAUGGAGUCUUAUACAAUUUUAGAAUUUUAAUUCCAAAAAUAUUGCCUCACCCGGUUUAUAAUUGAGAUGCCAAUUUUCUGAUUUUUGAUUAUUCAAGAAUCAACAAUCUUGCCUAAAUAAAAAGGAAUCUUCAAUCUUCUGCUUAAUAAAAGAGAAUCUUAAAGUUUGUUAAUCAAAAUUUGUCGGGUAUACAAAUCCUACAACCCUAUGAAUAGCUGCAAGAUGGAGUCUUUUUUCAAAAAAAUCGCUGCAGGAAUCCAUGAAUAUACUUUGUUUCAUAAAUUUUGAAAGGGAUGGAUGCCUUAACCGUAGAGUUUGGUUUGUGAAUUGAUAAGUGAAAUAAAAUGUUUUUUCAUUUUCUAAAAAUCGGGUGGUAUACAUGUCUUGAUGGCCAAAAAAUGAUGGAUGAUGCCUUGAUGUAAAAGCUAGUUGUUGCUUUAAAGCAUGGAUGGAUAAUUUGAUGCUUUGAUGACCAUAGUCCCUUUGCAAUUGCAAUAUGAGCUGGCUCGUUGAAGCAUGGGAAUUGAGGGAUUAGCCUAUCUGUUAUUGUUGGAUUGUCUUGUGCCUGGUAUUUAGGCAGUACAAAUAUACUCAGUGGAAUCACAAAGGGAGCUAUGUUUGGUGUUGAGUGGAUGGGAGGAGUGCCAUGGAGUGGAAAACAUGAUACGAUGGACAAUGUAUCUGUCAAUGCUUAUUACUGCAAGACCUAUUAUGAAAAUCGGAUAAAAUGAGGGGUUCGUUGGUGGAAAGACGGUGUGUGAUAAAUGGAUAAAAUUUGGUAGGUGAUGGUAUAAUAAUUGGAUAUCACUUGAUUUGAGUUGAUAAUUGUUAGUGCAAGUCUUGGAAUUAGGAAUUCAAUACAAGCAAGCUCUUAUCAGUGUGUGUACAACAAUUGCAACUGGGGAAUUGAUCAUGUAGGUGGUACAGCCUCUAGGUCGGUUAUCUAGUAUACAAACUUGCUGUGAUGACCAUUCUUUCGGACAAAUAUUAGUAUGUAGCAUAGGUGUUUGUUGCAUAUUUACAGCAGUUACCAAUUUACUUGCUUUGGGGUGUUGGGUUAGUCUCGGUUCUAGUUUUGAGACUUGUGGAUAUAAGAUUCUGUACUAUUGAUGCUUAAACUGUGCACUCCUUGUGCUUCGGUUACAACAUUUUAAAUAUACUUUUCAAUUAAAAAUAAAACCAAGUCAUGAAGUUUUAGUCUAUCAAUUUCAAUGUGUUUUUAAUAUAUGUGGCAUAGUUUGCCUCUGGAUUCCAAGAUGAUAUGCAGUGACAGUAAUGCCCCUUACCCUUAGCUUUAUGAGAGGGGUUAAUCAUAGGAAUGAGAUAAUUGUGACUUAUGAAAAGGAAAUAUGUACUUUUUAUAGUGUAAUUGUUUUAUGAUAAAUUGCAAAAUGAUUUUGAGGAGGAACUCUCUGAAAAAAGUAAACACAAGAUGCUUUGACUGUAUUUAUUUUGAAAAGUAAUUUUAGUCUUUACUUAUAAAAGUAAUGUUAAUUUGAGAUCUAUAGCUAAGGUAAAUUUUCAGAUGUAAAGGCUGGUUGUGGCUAAUGCAACCAUUGUGUGAUCUAAGUUAGAAAGUGUUCCGAAGCCCAGAUCUUGGUUGCUCAUACAUGUGAAAUCUUCACAAUGUUAGAGUUAUACUCGUUAUGUUUUCUAAUGAUUAUUUUUUGUCUUAUUUAUUAUUAGGGUUCUUAUUAAUCAAAUUGUGCAGUGAUCUUAUUUGCUAGCUCAGUAACUUGGUACUGCGGCUUGUUUGUACUGAUAAACCACAAUGUCAGGUUUUAAUUUGGCUUUUGUGUUUUGGAAGAAUGCAUAUAUUGGCAAUUUAAAUGAGCUAGCUUACGCUCAAGAAUUUAUGAACAUGGUUUCAAAUUUAUUAGCGGUUGGAUUUCAAAUGCUGUAAACCAUUCAAUUGCUGUCAAAUUAACCAUUCACGGGUGAUUGCUUUGGUAUAAUGACUGUUCCUUAGGAAUGAAUUUCACAGUUAAAUCACUUAACAAGACUUGUGUCAAGAUAAAAUCCAAAUGUGCUAAGGAGCUUAGAUGGGUUUUAGAACAAAACCAAACACUAAAAGAGGUUAAUUUUUCAAGAACAUGUCUUAAAGCUAAGAGAACUGUAUAUAAGCUGGACUGUUUAAGAAUCGGAGUCUGCAAAAUUUGCAUCUAACUGGAAACUUGUUUGGCGGAAUAGGCGUCGAGCAUUUACUUUGUCCUAUAAACAGAUUGUCAUCACUGCAAAUGAAAGCCAACACUGAUUUGAAAUGUGUUACUUUUGGUGGAGGGAGAACAAGAAUAGGAAGGGAUGGUUUAGCAGCUAUAACACAGUCUUUCAUAACGAAUGAGACAGUGAUGCGGUUUGGUAUACAAGAUGCUGAGAG